rnacentral:rRNA from 1 species
CACGGGUGAGUAACACGUAUCCAACCUGCCGUCUACUCUUGGACAGCCUUCUGAAAGGAAGAUUAAUACAAGAUGGCAUCAUGAGUCCGCAUGUUCACAUGAUUAAAGGUAUUCCGGUAGACGAUGGGGAUGCGUUCCAUUAGAUAGUAGGCGGGGUAACGGCCCACCUAGUCUACGAUGGAUAGGGGUUCUGAGAGGAAGGUCCCCCACAUUGGAACUGAGACACGGUCCAA